CAUCAACGUACUACAGAGUCACGGCAACGCCAGGUUCAUGGUUUACAGACCCUCCUACGUAACACUCUACUCAGGUAACACUCUACUCACGUAACACUUUCCACGGGUAACACUCUUCACUGGUAACUCUCUACUCAGGUAACACUCUACUCAGGUAACACUCUACUCACGUAACACUUUCCACGGGUAAC